AUGAACGCUGGCGGCGUGCCUAAUACAUGCAAGUCGAGCGAACAGACGAGGAGCUUGCUCCUCUGACGUUAGCGGCGGACGGGUGAGUAACACGUGGAUAACCUACCUAUAAGACUGGGAUAACUUCGGGAAACCGGAGCUAAUACCGGAUAAUAUAUUGAACCGCAUGGUUCAAUAGUGAAAGACGGUUUUGCUGUCACUUAUAGAUGGAUCCGCGCCGCAUUAGCUAGUUGGUAAGGUAACGGCUUACCAAGGGAACGAUGCGUAGCCGACCUGAGAGGGUGAUCGGCCACACUGGAACUGAGACACGGUCCAGACUCCUACGGGAGGCAGCAGUAGGGAAUCUUCCGCAAUGGGCGAAAGCCUGACGGAGCAACGCCGCGUGAGUGAUGAAGGUCUUCGGAUCGUAAAACUCUGUUAUUAGGGAAGAACAAAUGUGUAAGUAACUAUGCACGUCUUGACGGUACCUAAUCAGAAAGCCACGGCUAACUACGUG
rnacentral:rRNA from 1 species